rnacentral:rRNA from 1 species
GACGAACGCUGGCGGCGUGCUUAACACAUGCAAGUCGAACGGAGUUCCUUGGAUAGAGGCUUCGGCCAAUUGAAUUGGAACUUAGUGGCGGACUGGUGAGUAACGCGUGAGGAACCUGCCUUUCAGAGGGGGACAACAGUUGGAAACGACUGCUAAUACCGCAUAACGUAUAGAGAUCGCAUGGUCUUUAUACCAAAGAUUUUAUCGCUGAAAGAUGGCCUCGCGUCUGAUUAGCUGGUUGGUGAGGUAACGGCCCACCAAGGCGACGAUCAGUAGCCGACCUGAGAGGGUGAUCGGCCACAUUGGAACUGAGACACGGUCCAAACUCCUACGGGAGGCAGCAGUGGGGAAUAUUGCACAAUGGGGGAAACCCUGAUGCAGCAACGCCGCGUGAAGGAAGAAGGUCUUCGGAUCGUAAACUUCUGUCCUUGGGGAAGAAACAAAUGACGGUACCCUUGGAGGAAAGCCCCCGGCUAACUACGUG